AGCGAAAUUGCUGGGUCAUAUGGUAACUUUAUAUUUAACUUUUUGAGGAACUGCCAAAUUGCUUUUCAAAGUGGCUGCACCAUUUUACCUUCCCACCAGCAAU
rnacentral:pre_miRNA from 1 species